rnacentral:rRNA from 1 species
AUGAAACCACCAGUAGUCGCGAAUAUCUCCUCCUUCCCCAAUCCAAGAUUGUAGAAAGAAGAUCUAAAAGAGACCUAUGAAGAAUGUGGUCACAAAUCCAUAGCAGAGUUCGAGCAUCCCAUAUGUGUAGGGGGAAUCGGAGGAAGAAGACACAUUGAUCCUUAUGGUAGCAACAGUGAUAUUACAAUCUAUAAUGCUAUGUCAACAGGUACUACUCCCUCCAUUCCAAAAUAUAGUGCGUUGCGCUUUCCGAGGUUAAACUUUGACCAUAAAUUUAACGAACGAGACCGACUGCGGCGGGAGAAAAAGUUAUGUAAUUAA